rnacentral:rRNA from 1 species
GACGAACGCUGGCGGCGUGCUUAACACAUGCAAGUCGAACGAAGUGGCGAACGGGUGAGUAACGCGUAAUCAACCUGCCCUUCAGAGGGGGACAACAGUUGGAAACGACUGCUAAUACCGCAUACUGUAGGAGGGGAUUGCGUGUGAUUAGCUAGUGGGAGGGGUAACGGCCCACAAAGGCGAUGAUCGGUAGCCGGUCUGAGAGGAUGAACGGCGAAAUUGGGACUGAGACACGGCCCAGACUCCUACGGGAGGCAGCAGUGGGGAAUCUUCCGCAAUGGACGAAAGUCUGACGGAGCAACGCCGCGUGAGUGAUGACGACCGUCGGGUUGUAAAGCUCUGUUAAUCGGGACGCGGUACCGGAAUAGAAAGCCACGGCUAACUACGUGCCAGCAGCCGCGGUAAUAC